UGAGGAAUAUUGGUCAAUGGAGGCAACUCUGAACCAGCCAUGCCGCGUGCAGGAUGACGGUCCUAUGGAUUGUAAACUGCUUUUGUACAGGAAGAAACCUCUCUACGAGUAGAGACUUGACGGUACUGUAAGAAUAAGGAUCGGCUAACUCCGUGCCAGCAGCCGCGGUAAUACGGAGGAUCCGAGCGUUAUCCGGAAUUAUUGGGUUUAAAGGGUUCGUAGGCGGUCAGAUAAGUCAGUGGUGAAAUUUCUUAGCUUAACUAAGACACGGCCAUUGAUACUGUUUGACUUGAAUAGUAUGGAAGUAACUAGAAUAUGUAGUGUAGCGGUGAAAUGCUUAGAUAUUACAUGGAAUACCAAUUGCGAAGGCAGGUUACUACGUAUUUAUUGACGCUGAUGAACGAAAGCGUGGGGAGCGAACAGGAUUAGA
rnacentral:rRNA from 1 species